UGUGUUCAAGCCUUCAAGGCAUGUGUUUUAGUAUCAAACUAGUCGGUCUUUGGCCCAGUUUCGGUCUUAAUUCAUUGAUGAAACAUGACCUGUUUCAUGUUUAACGUGAAGGGCAGGAUACAAGGAGAGAGAGGAUGGUAGGGCUCGAUUCCAGGAACUCGAAAUCGAGCGCUUUGCCUGUUCGCGAUUCAACCUAGGCGGUCUAGGCUUUGUUUAUAUCUCGUAAUUGCUCACUUGGCCGUUUGCCCAUUUCUCAUACAUGUAUACUUUGUUGCGAAGUGGGAAUCUGAAUUACUGGGGAUAUAAAUAUAAAUUGGGACAGGUAUUUCUGAGUUUUGGACUGCGUUUUUUAUUUCGACGGUUAUCGUCUUCUGUGUCUUUCCUCUGAAAGCCCUAAUCUGUUGCUAUUGCUCCGUCUUUCACAAUCCACACGAAUAUAAUCUUCCAUCCGACCAUCGCAAUCAUCCUGAGCGAAUUGGACUGAUCGAACUAUAUAUAUAGAGAGAGUCGUAGGGUUGGACGGCCGGCGGCUCUGAUGUGGUGGAAGCAACUGCCUUAUUGUUUGUUCACCGCGGGAAGCCUCCGCAUCUUCAGUGCCCAAAGUGAAUGGAAGUAAAGCUCCCUCGUGAAGGUGCUGCUUUCUAUGUGUGUCUAUACAGGAACAUCCAAAAUCUGGAAUUUCUUAUAUGCAAACUUUCCUCAUCUAGGAUUGGCUCUCCAGGUGAGCAAGAUGUAGGCCUACUUAAUGAAGGUUGGCAAUAUUGCUUGGGGAGAAGACACACCCGAGCUCUAAAACUUCAGGGUCAUUUGCAAGCACAAUUAGGUGAAUGUGUCGUCUUUAAAGUUUUAGCUCUGAGUUUUAAGUUUCAUUUAGUCUUGGAAUUACAUCAUUUGGAUACCUGAAAGUCUAAUUAUGUCUCAACUUACACAAAUUGUUGAGAAAGCACAAUUCCAACAACUAGUAUUAUAUUCAUUCCUAUGUCUUUUGCUAAUAUAGAAUUAGGCAAAGGUCUCUUUUUUUUUUCAAAGGUAAGAUCCAUUAGAAUUAAAAUGGUAAAUAUAAGCGCAGGAAGUCCUUAGCCUAGAAAACAACAAGCCCAAGCUCAAACAAGUCAAACUCAACCCCACAACAGAAAAACCCUAGCGAAAGAUCCAGCAGAGAAAACGAGUAAGGAUCUUGACCCAUUAUCAAAUGACGCUUUCAUCUCCUGGGGAAACGGCGCCGGAGAGCCAGAGAAAACAGUUACAGAGCACUGCUGGAGAUCUUCCAAAGACAUGAGGACGAACAAUGGCUAGGAAGAAGGCAGAGCCCAUGCAGCUUUUCAAUCUGUUACCAAAGGCCAGUUCCCGUCCUCAAACCCAUUUUCAUAAUUUGAUAGGGAAGCAUGAUGAUGGAAGAAUCGCAUACUUGAAGCAUUGAAGGCAGGACGGAUCUUCACCCAAGAUAAAUAAAGGGGUCUGGCAUGAUCGGAUUUGGCUUGGCAGAUGGACUGCUCUUACUGCAGAUUGCAAAUGUAGUGCUGAAUUUGAGCACAGUUUUGGUUUCUUUCUCAACUAUCUUUUCGACAUUGUGUAUCAUCCUGCCUCCAAUGGUUACUGUUGUCUGCUGUGUUGCUAAAUACAAAGUGGUCCCUUUAGCAGUUCUUUAUCCACAUGAUCUGGAUGUGUAAUGCAGGUGACAGAAGCUGGAGUUGAGCUUCUUGCAUUACGCCUGCCCUCAUCUCCCAGCGUCUUCCCAUGACUCACUGCAGGAUUGGCCCCCGGUGGACGAGAUAUACCGCUUGUAAUAAAAUAGGCUAUUUUUUCGCUUCAAAAAAAUGAAGGUUAAGAAGUUCGAUUUGUGAUGUGUUUUAGUUGCAGCGAGCUAAUAGUCUAAUGCCGUUAAAGAGCAAUUAUGGAAGC